rnacentral:rRNA from 1 species
GAGUUGAUCAUGGCUCAGGACGAACGCUGGCGGCGUGCUUAACACAUGCAAGUCGAACGAUGACGAUGGUGCUUGCACCGUCUGAUUAGUGGCGAGCGGGUGAGUAACACGUGAGUAACCUGCCCUCCUCUUCGGGAUAACCGCCGGAAACGGUGGCUAAUACCGGAUAUGAAUGCCUGCCGCAUGGUGGGUGUUGGAAAGAUUUAUCGGUGGGGGAUGGACUCGCGGCCUAUCAGUUUGUUGGUGAGGUAAUGGCUCACCAAGGCGAUGACGGGUAGCCGGCCUGAGAGGGCGACCGGCCACACUGGGACUGAGACACGGCCCAGACUCCUACGGGAGGCAGCAGUGGGGAAUAUUGCACAAUGGGCGAAAGCCUGAUGCCAGCGACGCCGCGUGGGGGAUGACGGCCUUCGGGUUGUAAACCUCUUUCAGCAAGGAAGAAGCGAGAGUGACGGUACCUGCAGAAGAAGCGCCGGCUAACUACGUGCCAGCCGCUGC